rnacentral:misc_RNA from 1 species
GCCUAGCCCCGAUUGAAGCAUUUGUUUGAGCUCAUUUUAUUAGUUUGGGCUUCGGCGGCGAAGCCGCCGCAGCCCAAACUAAUAAAAUAGCGAGUGCGGAAAGCGGGAACAGCU